GCCUGGGUGGCUCAGUCAUUUAAGCGUCUGACUUUGGCUCAGGUCAUGAUCUCACGGUUUGUGGGUUCAAUCCCCACAUCAGGCU
rnacentral:tRNA from 1 species